GGAGCCACAGAAGCCUAUGUAGAAAAAGUCCAAAUGUGCGCCCGUGACUCCGGACGAGGAAACUCAACUACAGACUGUGUAUGUCUUCUGUCCUCUGGACAGCUACAACCAUCCUGUGGCCUCGCCCUGAGCCUUCAGGGCUGUCCCCUACUCUACCACAGGGAAGUUUUUUCUAAAAUGCAAGUAUUAUUGUUUGACAGCCCUGCUUAAAAGCUUUCAGUGACUUUUUAUUUUCUGUGGACUAUAUCACAAGGUUUAUAGCAUUAAGAAGCUUCAUAUUCUUUUCCUCCAACCUUCUCUCUUAUGACUUCCCUUUAUUAGUUCUAGCUUCAUGGAAUUUUUAUAAUUCAUGUCUAAGCUUUCUUACACAUGCCUGACAAACCACUGCUCUACCUUCCAGAGGCAAAAUCAGGAAUUUUUUUCAUCUUUGGAAGCCCAGUCCUCAUAGCCGUACCUCCUAAUUCCAAAAAGUUGAAUCCUCCUUCGUCUGUAUGAGGAAUGCCCCUUACUCAGCAGCAGGUGGACACGGCCGUGGGUCAAGACGCUCUGCCUCAUGGAGAAGCCUGGUUUGCCAUCGCCACCACUAAGUCAGACCGUGUAACCCUUCCGUUCUUCACCCACAGCAUCAGCAGCAACUUCUGUGGCCAUUCGCUGCUUACAAAAGCUACGGGGUUUGCAUUCAUCAUCCACAUUGAUGAGUUUCUGGUAGCCAGUAGCUGGAAAAGAGUUGUUCAGUUUCUUCCCAAAGC